rnacentral:rRNA from 1 species
AUGAACGCUGGCGGCGUGCCUAAUACAUGCAAGUCGAGCGAACAGACGAGGAGCUUGCUCCUCUGACGUUAGCGGCGGACGGGUGAGUAACACGUGGAUAACCUACCUAUAAGACUGGGAUAACUUCGGGAAACCGGAGCUAAUACCGGAUAAUAUAUUGAACCGCAUGGUUCAAUAGUGAAAGACGGUUUUGCUGUCACUUAUAGAUGGAUCCGCGCCGCAUUAGCUAGUUGGUAAGGUAACGGCUUACCAAGGCAACGAUGCGUAGCCGACCUGAGAGGGGGAACGGCCAAACGGGAACUGAGCACGGGCCCAGAACCCUAGGGGAGGCAGAAGGAGGGAAUCUUCCGAAAUGGGGGAAAGCCUAACGGAGCAACGCCGGGGGAGUGAAGAAGGUCUUGGGAUCGUAAAACUCUGUUAUUAGGGAAAAAAAAAUGUGUAAGUAACUAUGCACGUCUUGACGGUACCUAAUCAGAAAGCCACGGCUAACUACGU